CCUACGGGUGGCAGCAGUGAGGAAUAUUGGUCAAUGGACGAGAGUCUGAACCAGCCAAGUCGCGUGAAGGAUGACUGCCCUCGGGUUUUUAAACUUCUUUUAUAAAGGAAUAAAACGAGGCGCGUGUGCCUUUUUGCAUUUACUUUAUGAAUAAGGAUCGGCUAACUCCGUGCCAGCAGCCGCGGUAAUACGGAGGAUCCGAGCGUUAUCCGGAUUUAGUGGGUUUAAAGGGAGCGUAGAUGGGUUGGUAAGUCAGUUGUGAAAGUUUUCGGCUCAACCUGAAAAUUGCAAUUGAAACUGGCAGGCUUGAGUACAGGUGAGGUAGGCGGAAUUCGUGGUGUAGCGGUGAAAUGCGUAGAUAUCACGAAGAACACCGAUUGCGAAGGCAGCUUACUAAACUGAGACUGACAUUGAGGCACGAAAGUGUGGGUAUCAAACAGGAUUAGAUACCCCAGUAGUC
rnacentral:rRNA from 1 species